AACUGAUGUACUUAACUAGAAAUGAAACUAACUAAAUUUUAUUGCUUUCCGAUCAACAUUUUGUUUCCGUAAUCCUCCAAACCAAAUGUUGUUAUAAAUUAUUGUCGUUCAGAGCAAGAUCGAAAAUGUUAUGUAACUUCAGAAAUAUGUAGCUUUUCUAGCUAGAAUCUUCACAUGGUGUUUCAAGAUGUAGCUGAUUAUAAUUGUGUGAUUCUUUAUUUCAGUCACGUCAUGUGAACCACUAUCUCCAAAUACACUGUAAAGUGGUUAAAUUAGAUUCAAACUGAGAUAAAAUAUAAGACGUAGUUCACAAUGGCAUUCUAGUAAGUUGGAAUAAAUUGGAGUUUGAUACAUGGUUAACGACUUGAUUAAUCGUUCCCUUAAAGGAAAAGUGGCACUAACGAAGAAGGUUCGCGAACUAUUCCAUGUUCUAUUAUCUUGAGGCAAAGGUUACAACUUUUAGUGCACAAUUACUGUGAUCUAUAUGCUGAAGGAGAGUAGUUUACAUUUUUUGAUGCUAAAAAAAAAAAGAAAACUUCAAUUUGAAUCCUUCUAGUCUACAUGUUUACUCAUAACCAUCGAUCUUGUAAGAGGGUGAAUUCAUAAAAAAUGAGUUAAGUUCUUAACUUCAAAGAACAUUAAAGUUUAUUAUACAGGUGAAAAUUAACGAUGAAGUUGGAAAGCCCUGCUACCAACCAUCGUUAUAAUAAAAUUAACAUAUCAUUUUAAAGCCGAUCUAAUCGAGAUAGAUAAUUUUUUGGCAUGCUAAAAUCUUGCUUAAACAUGAGAAAAAUGGAAACGACUUAUAAAUUCCGUAAAGGCGCGAGAAACGUGCCUAAAUUUGUGGUGAGGCCGAAAAGUACUACUAUCGGUAAGCCACACGUCAGUAAAUAAUUUCAAAAUAAAUUAAAAGCGGGAGGCAAACAACUUUUAGGUUGACAAAUAUUAUAAAUCCUAAAAAAAAAAAAAAAGGGUUUUAAUUUAAGCCGAACGUAAGUCAUUAAAGCGACCGUGCUAGAACCACGGGACUCGAGGGGUGCCUAACACCUUCCCCUCGGUCAACAGAAUUCCUUAUCCGGAUUUCUAGUUCGCAGAUCGAAAAAUAAAAAUUAAAGAGUCAUUUUCUUCUUGAAUAGGGAUUCAAUAAGGUGACUUGGAACACCCAAACUCAAUUCCAAGUGGCGACUCUGUAAAUAAAAUAAUCCC
rnacentral:lncRNA from 1 species